rnacentral:rRNA from 1 species
UACGAAUGGGGCAAGCGUUGUUCGGAAUCACUGGGCUUAAAGCGUGCGCAGGCGGCCAAGCAAGUCAGAAGUGAAAUCCCCGGGCUCAACCCGGGAAUUGCUUUUGAAACUGCAUGGCUAGAAUCCCGGAGAGGUUAGCAGAAUUCCGAGUGUAGAGGUGAAAUUCGCAGAUAUUCGGAGGAAUACCAGUGGCGAAAGCGGCUAACUGGACGGGCAUUGACGCUCAGGCACGAAAGCGUGGGGAGCAAACAGG